rnacentral:lncRNA from 1 species
GGGUGAGGAUCGGAGAUCAAGAAAUACCAAAAAGCGACCGUUUUCGUUACCUAGGAUCUAUCUUGCAAAAGAACGGAGAAUUAGAUGAAGAUCUCAACCAUAGAAUACAAGCUGGAUGGAUGAAGUGGAAGAGUGCAUCCGGCGUGUUGUGUGACCGCCGUAUGCCAUUGAAGCUCAAGGGAAAAUUUUAUAGGACGGCAAUAAGGCCGGCGAUGCUGUAUGGCACAGAAUGUUAGGCGGUGAAACAUCAACACGUACACAAAAUGGGUGUAGCGGAGAUGAGGAUGCUUCGUUGGAUGUGUGGGCACACGAGAAAGGAUAAGAUUAGGAAUGAGGAUAUCCGGGGUAAAGUAGGAGUAGCCGAAAUUGAAGGAAAGAUGAGAGAAAAUCGGUUACGGUGGUUUGGACAUGUGCAAAGAAGGCCUACUGAUGCUCCGAUUAGAAGAUGCGACUAUGGGACAGAGGUUCAGGGCCGAAGGGGUAGAGGAAGACCUAGGAAAACUUUGGAAGAGACUCUAAGAAAUGACUUAGAGUACUUGGAUCUAACGAAGGACAUGACACAGGAUCGAGCACAAUGGCGUUCUAAGAUUCAUAUAGCCGAUCCCACUCAGUGACUUGGAUUUUCCAAGUCUCCAAUCGAGAAGUUUUCCUCACUCGGGAAAUUAAGGGAACACUACCCCAACCUACAUGCUCCACUCAGAAAGCUUCAACAUACAAGCUUCAACAAAAGAAAAUUCAAAGAACUUAGCGAAGAAGGCUUUGGUGUAUUUAACACAAUACGUUGAAAUGAAGGAAAGCUUAUUUAUUGAUAUCCCCCGAUCAGCUACAAAUAUGUACAUAUACAUGAGUCAAAAUAAACACACAAGACGGAGCCUUCACAAAGGUUGCUUAGGAGAAGUCUUAGCAGUCGGUAGAGCCCCAGAAAGAGAAGGCACCAGAGGGGGAUCAUUUGGAGCCUCAGUACUGGACAGAACCUUAGAAGGAGGAGGCAUCAGAGGUUGAUCAUUCGGAGCUUCAUUACGCGGUACAGCCCCAGAAGACGAAGGCAAUAAAUGCCUUUGGAACAAACCCACAAAUCUCUGAUGAUCAAGUAAAACCUGACCAUCAGUUUCCUUCAUCUGGUCAAGCUUCCUCUUCAUGUUUGUAGCAUAGUCAUGUGCGAGCCGGUGCAACUGUUUAUUCUCAUGCUUGAGCCCUCUAAUCUCCUGUUUGAGACUCAUCACUUCAGCCGCCAAGGAUUCAACUUGGCGGGUUCGAGCAAAUAGGCGUUGGGCCAUAUUAGACACAGAACCUGCACACUGAACACUGAGAGCCAGCGAAUCCUUAACAGCUAACUCAUCAGACCGUUUGGAAAGUAGUCUGUUAUCUUUGGGAGUGAGAAGGUUCCUGGCCACCACCGCAGCGGUCAUAUCAUUCUUCAUCACGGAAUCCCCAACGGUAAGAGGACCAGUAGGGGAGACGAAGGAUGGGCGCCAUAUGUUGUCUGGAGAAGGCGGGGCUGCCUCUUCAACAAGGUUCAAGUCAAAACGACGGUCGGAGGGGCCAGGGGCCAGACAUUUUCAAAGGUGUUGAAGAGAGAAGAGGUCGGACAAAUCAAGAUCUUAGAAGUGCAAGAAUGAAGCUUCUACUGGUGGAGAUUCAAGUGUGCUUUGGAACUUAAUGUCAGCCUCUAUAAAAAUCUGCACUCGACGGAGCUUCAGAAAUCGAAGAGGCGCCUGCUCAGAAAUCGAAGAGGCGUUUGCUUUCUCAAAAGCUGGGCUGCUUAGAGAUCACGAGGGUUGAUCUCAGAAAUCGAAGAGGCGUUUGCUUUCUCAAAAGUUGGGCUGCUCAAAGACCACGAAGGCCGAUCUCAGAAAUCGAAGAGGCGCUCGCUUUCUCAAAAAGCUGGGCUCCCCAGAGACCACGAGGGCCGAUCUCAGAAAUCGAAGAGGCACCUACUUUUCCAGCCUUGUCAGCACCCGUCACACGCACACUCAGCUUUGCAGAAAUUAUGGGCAUUCUGUCGAAGACUUCUGGGGAAGUAGAAAACACAUGAAUCUUACUGUUCAAUCACCCACUUCCCACACGCAACAAUAGCUCAUGGGUACCACAGAUAACUUUGCCAAAGUUCUCUGCCAAAGUUGAGCACGUGAAGCUUGCAGCUCCCACUACAUCGCUCUGACCAAGAAGGGUAAAAGAAUAGCAAAGAAACAGCACUAACAAAGUUUAGACCCAUAAAUUUUGAAGGUCUAGCAACCAUAUUAUUACCCACAAGGGUAAAGGAACAGUACCACUGCUGGAUAAUUGGAAAGUCCCUGUGUGUCAACCUCUGUGCUUCGUGGCAAGGUAGACUAGCAAACAUGCCCAACCUUUACUCACAUUCGAGAAAACACUCCCAAUAAGAUUGCUUGCUCCAAAAGCGAAGAGGCACCGUCCUCCGAAUCUCGAGAGCCAGACUCCCAACUUGACUACUUUCUUAAAAAUCGAAGAGAGGGUAAAGGAACAGUACCAUUGCUGGAUAAUUGGAAAAGUCCCUGUGUGUCAACCUCUGUGCUUCGUGGCAAGGUAGACUAGCAAACAUGCCCAACCUUUACUCACAUUCGAGAAAACACUCCCAACAAGAUUGCUUGCUCCAAAAUCGAAGAGACACCGCCCUCCGAAUCUCGAGAGCCAGACUCCCAACGUGAUUACUUUCUCAAAAAUCGAAGAGACACUGCUCCCCGAAUCUUCGAGAGCCAGACCCCCAGCAUGAUUGCUUUCUCAAAAAUCGAUGAGGCAUCGUUCUCCGAAUCAAUCGAAGAGGCGCUCGCUUUCUCAAAAGCUGGGCUGCUCAGAGACCACGAGGGCCGAUCUCAGAAAUCGAAGAGGCACCUACUUUUCUAGCCUUGUCAGCACCUGUCACACGCACACUCAGCUUUGCAGAAAUUAUGGGCAUUCUGUCGAAGACUUCUGGUGAAGUAGAAAGCACAUGAAUCUUACUGUUCAAUCACCCACUUCCCACACGCAACAAUAGCUCAUGGGUACCACAGAUAACUUUGCCAAAGUUCUCUGCCAAAGUUGAGCACGUGAAGCUUGCAGCUCCCACUACAUCGCUCUGACCAAGAAAGGUAAAAGAAUAGCAAAGAAACAGCACUAACAAAGUUUAGACACAUAAAUUUUGAAGGUCUAGCUACCAUAUUAUUACCCACAAGGGUAAAGGAACAGUACCACUGCUGGAUAAUUGGAAAGUCCCUGUGUGUCAACCUCUGUGCUUCGUGGCAAGGUAGACUAGCAAACAUGCCCAACCUUUACUCACAUUCGAGAAAACAGUCCCAACAAGAUUGCUUGCUCCAAAAUCGAAGAGGCACCGUCCUCCGAAUCUCGAGAGCCAGACUCCCAACAUGACUACUUUCUCAAAAUCGAAGAGAGGGUAAAGGAACAGUACCAUUGCUGGAUAAUUGGAAAGUCCCUGUGUGUCAACCUUUGUGCUUCGUGGCAAGGUAGACUAGCAAACAUGCCCAACCUUUACUCACAUUCGAGACAACACUCCCAACACGAUUGCUUGCUCCAAAAUCGAAGAGGCACCGCCCUCCGAAUCUCGAGAGCCAGACUCCCAAAAUGAUUACUUCCUCAAAAAUCGAAGAGACACUGCUCUCCGAAUCUCGAGAGCCAGACCCCCAGCAUGAUUGCUUUCUCAAAAAUCGAAGAGGCAUCGUUCUCCGAAUCUCGAGAGCCAGAUACCACAGACCACUUUUUCAAAGUGCUCUGACAGAGUUAAAACAUGUGAAACUGGCAGCUCCCACUACUGUGCUAUGACCAAGCAGGGUAAAGGAAUAGCAUUACUACUUGUUGUUAGGGAGACUCCUAUAUAUGUCGACCUCCAUCCCCAACGGACAGGCAGACCUGCAAAAAUGCUCAACCCUUCAUCAUAUCUGAGAGGGCACUCCCAACGAAGCCUUUCGAAAUAUUCAGCUUUCUUUCCCCCCGAUAAUACCUCUGCAAACAAGCUAUACUAGAGCAAGAAUAUCUCAUAUCAUCAGGGUUAAAAGCAAGAGUAUCCCAUAUCAUGCUUUUUCCCUGUCUUUUCCUUUGGCCUUGUUUUUACCUGCAAGACAAGGAGAAAGAGAGCAAUCAGUCAGCACUUGGAAUCAAGCUUCCAGCCAGGAACUGACUGCCUGGAACCCCUUACCUGAUUACUUACCUGGCAUUGCUCUUGAGUACUCAUCUUCAACAUCUUAUGUUUCCAGGAAAGAUUCCGCAUCUGCUUGAGGAACAGAUAGGGCAAGUGCGAAGGAUACAAGGAAGCAUGUGGAGACAAGCGUAACAGCACACGUGCCGAUACACCCAUUACUCUGUCAAAAGCAAAAGUAUCCCAUAUCAGCAGGGUGGAACGUACUCUAGAUUUGAUGGACUUGUUUUGACCCUCAAAUUCUUCAGUCGGCCUUAUACUCUGGAGGAAACCAGAAAACCCUCCAGCUCAGUUCAAGAAUAAGCCUGUGGAAAGUUACUUCUUCAAAAGCAAAAGUAUCUCAUAUCAUCUCUUCUCAUUUUUCUUCUCUUUAUCCUUCAUGCUGCUGCAAGAUGGGGAGAAGGUGAACAAUCAGUCGGAGCUCUGAUGGCUUACCUUGUCUGUCACCUCUUUCAGCAGACCCCCUAGCUCGGCGACUUGGGGGACUCCUACUACAUGGUUUGUAUCACGCUUGACCAAGCCUGAGACUACAAGUAAGCUUCAAGUGAAAUUGAUACAUUACCUUGUGCAUCUCCACCAGUUAAAGAUACCACCCCUGGAUGGAGGAAGAGUACUUCCAGAGAAGAUGCCACAUCUACCUAUGAGACAGAUAAGGCAAGUCAAGACGACACCACACUCCGAUACUUAGAAGUUUCGUGAUUACGAGAUCAUUCUCCCACAAUAUUUCCUAAUGUCAUUUGUACUAAAUCAUUCACUUGUACUCACUAAAGGAGAGCUUGAACCUAUGUACUUGUGUAAACCCUUCACAAUUAAUGAGAACUCUUCUAUUCCGUGGACGUAGCCAAUCUGGGUGAACCACGUACAUCUUGUGUUUGCUUUCCUAUCUCUAUCCAUUUAUAUACUUAUCCACACUAAUGACCGGAGCAAUCUAGCGAAGAUCACAAAAAGCGACCGUUUUCGCUACCUAGGAUCUAUCUUGCAAGAGAACGGAGAAUUAGAUGGAGAUCUCAACCAUAGAAUACGAGCUGGAUGGAUGAAGUGUAAGAGUGCAUCCGGCGUGUUGUGUGACCGUCGUAGGCCACUGAAGCUCAAGGGAAAAUUUUAUAGGACGGCAAUAAGGCCAGCGAUGUUGUAUGGCACAGAAUGUUGGGCGGUGAAGCAUCAACACGUACACAAAAUGGGUGUAGCGGAGAUGAGGAUGCUUCGUGGGAUGUGUGGGCACACGAGAAAGGAUAAGAUUGGGAAUGAGGAUAUCCGAGGUAAAGUAGGAGUAGCCGAAAUUGUAGGAAAGAUGAGAGAAAAUCGGCUCCGAUGAUUUGGACAUGUGCAAAGAAGGCCGACUGACGCUUCGGUUCGAAGAUGUGACUACGGGACAGAGGUUCAGGGCCAAAGGGGUAGAGGAAGACCUAGGAAAACUUUGGAAGAGACUCUAAGAAAAGACUUAGAGUACUUGGAUCUAACGGAGGACAUGACACAAAACCGAGCGCAAUGGCGUUCUAGGAUUCAUAUAGCCGACCCCACUUAGUGGGAAAAGGCUUUGUUGUUGUUGUUGUUGUUGGUAGAAGUUGUUACACGUAGAGACAAAUUAUAAGACUAUACUAUGAAGAGAGAGAGUUUUUGAUUUAUUUCAUAGAAAAAUGAAGGGUAAAUUACACAAAACUACCUCAACUAUGAGUCGCACCAUAAUUUUAUACCUCAUGUUUUAAACAUUGCAACGUCAUACCUUAACUUAUGAAUUCGUUGCAAUGUCAUACCUCCGUUAGUGAUUCUGUCAAAUUGGGCGUUAAGUGAUGAUUUGGCAAAUGGAGGGCUCAUAUAUUUUCUAACGUGGCAGUCCACUUGUGCCAGCCAUUAAACAAAAUUAUAAAAUAUAUCAUUUAAAAUGAUAAAAUUUUAGGGUAAAGUACAAAAAACUACCUCAACUAUUGGUGUCACGACACUUUCAUACCUUAUCUUUUAAAAUUGACAAUGUCAAACCUCAUCUUACGAAUUUGUGUCAAUGUUAUACCUUCCAUUAGUUUGGAUUGAAUUUCUCAGUUAAAUGCUGACGUGGCUUGAUCCGGAACCCAUUUUCUAUUAAAAAAUUAUUUAAGAUUUUUUUAAAUAUUAAAAUAAUAAAGAAAAGUUAUUAAAAACAACAACAACACUCUCCCCUUCCCCAAAACCCAGGUCGUCCUCUAAAAAACCCAACCGAAGAAAAAGAAGAAGAAGAAGAAGAAGAAGAAGAAGAAAAUGAGGAGAAGAAGAAGGAGAAAAGAAAAAAAAAAAAAAAGGAAAUUCGUCCAUCCCCCAAGUGGGGAGGUUGGGUGUGCAGAGUGGGUGCGAGGAGAAGAUGAACUGGGUUGAUUUUUUUUUUUUUUAGGUUGCAGGAAGGGGUUUCAGGGGAAGAAGAUGAACAUGGGGGAAGGAUGGAGGGUGGGUGCGGGUGCGAGGGGAAGACGAACUGGAUUUUUUUUUUUUUGGGUUGCAGGAAUGGGGAUUUGAGGAAGAACAUGAACAUGAGGGCAAGAAUGGGGAUCUAGGGAAGAACAUGAACAUGAGAGCGGGUGGCGAGGGUAAUCAAAUCUGAUGGUUUUUGUUUUCUUCUUCUUCCUCCUUCUUCUUCUUUCUGGGUUGCAGGGACGAACAUAGGUUUUUUUUUUUUUCUUCUUCUUCCUCCUCCUCCUUCUUUUUGGGUUGCAGGAAGAUGGGGAGGGGAAGGACGAACAUAGUUUUUUUUUUGUUUUUUUUCUUCUUCUUUCUGGUUUGCAAGAAGAUGAGGAGGGGGAGGGACGAAUAAAGGUAUUUUUAUUUUUUUUUACUUUUCUUUAUUAUUUUAAUAUUUAAAAAAAUAUUAAAUAAUAUUUUUUAGUUUUUUUUAGUAAUAUUUUAAUGAUUUUUUAAUAGAAAGUGGGCCCCGAAUCAAGCCAGCAUUUAACUGAAAAAUAAAUGACCAAGUAACGGAAGGUAUAACAUUGACACAAAUUUGUAAGAUGAGUUAUGACAUUGUCCAUUUUAAAAGAUGAGGUAUGAAAGUGUCGUGACACCAAUAGUUGAGGUAGUUUUUUGUACUUUACCCAAAAUUUGAUGUCAAAAUUUUUUUUAAAAAAGUGGGCCCCACCCCUUUAAAUAACCAAAACCACCAUCUUCUCCGACCUACCCUCCGUUCUCUCCGACCUCCCCUCUCAAUCUGAAACCAAACCUUGAAACCAUUCUCUCCCUCUGUUCAAAUAACACUCCUCUUCCGCCAUCUUCUUACUCUCCCAAUGUACAAAACGCUGUUCUCCUAAUUUAACUCCACAGCUUGAAUUCAAAUCCUCAAUCACCGAGUCAACCUGGGCUUUCCAGUUCAUAGACAGCUUAAUCUCUGCCCUCUUGAUGAGCGCAUCUCUGUAAUCCUCUUUGGUCAGGCUUUUUAGCAGAGAGGGGACAACGCAACGUCAAUGGCAUCGAGGGCGGAGGUCUUGAAUCCCUAAGCGUCGAAGAUAACGGCUUCGAGGAUAUGGGUGGUGGCGUCCUUAGGGUCAAGGAUGAUGGCCUUCUUGGCCUCAUCAAGGGCCUGCUGGGAAAGGGAGGCAGAUAAGGAGUGGGAAUCGACGGAUAGGGACUGGACGAGGAGCUGGGCACUGAGGACGCUUGGCUUGGGCGGCAGGUUUGUUGCGGAAGCGAUAAUAAAGGUUGGCUAGGAGCUUUCGAAAGAUGUUGUUGAUGGAGAGGAAUACGACGACGAUGAGGAUUAGGCCAGUUUGGAGGAGAAUGUCCUUCGUGAUUCGAGACCAAUCGAUCGGUGCAAAUUCAACUGUUUGGGAAUUUAUGCAUGGGAAUUAGGAUUGAAGGAAUACAUGAGUGGGUGUUUGGGAAUCGGGUUGAGGGAAGAUUGGAAGAUAUGGGAAUUGGUUUCAGGGUUUGAAUUCAUAUUGAUGAGGAGGUUGGCGAGGGCUGUAACAUCCCACAUCACCCAGGGGAGUGGAUCAUGUAAGCCUUAUAUGUAUAUUCCCAUCUCUACCUAGCACGAGGUCUUUUGGGAGGCUUACUGGCUUCGGGUUCUAUUGGAACUCCGAAGUUAAACGAGUUCCCACGAGAGCAAUCUCAUGAUGGGUGACCCACUGGGAAGUUUUUGUGUGAGUUCCCAGAAACAAAACCGUGAGGGCGUGGUUGGGGCCCAAAGCGAACAAUAUCGUACUACGGCAGAGUCGAGCCCGGUAUGUGGUGAGGGCCUGGGCCGGGAUGUGACAAUUUGGUAUCAGAGCCAAUCACUGGCUAGAAGUGUGUCGAUGAGGACGUCGGGCCCCUAUGGGCGGUUGAUUGUAACAUCCCACAUUGCCCAGGGGAGUGGAUCCUGUAAGCCUUAUAUGUAUAUUCCCAUCUCUACCUAGCACGAGACCUUUUAAGAGCUCACUGGUUUCGGGUUCCAUCGGAACUCCGAAGUUAAGCGAGUUCGCGCGAGAGCAAUCUCAUGAUGGGUGACCUACUGGAAAGUUCUCGUGUGAGUUCCCAGAAACAAAACCGUGAGGGCAUGGUCGGGGCCCAAAGUGGACAAUAUCGUGUUACGACAGAGUCGAGCCCGGGAUGUGGUGGGUCCUCGGGCCGGGAUGUGACAAGGGCGGAGGAAGGUCGGAGAAGAAGGUGGAUUUAGUGCUUUGAAGAGGGUGGACCCAUUUUUUUAAAUUUAAUUUUUGGCAUAAAAAAAAUUAAUGAUUAUUGUAUAUAUAAUUUCUUAAUGGCACAAGUGGACUGCCACGUCAACGAAUAUAUGGCUCCUCCAUUUUCCAAAUCAUCACUUAAUGACCAAUUUGACAGAAUCACUAACGGAGGUAUGACAUUGCAACGAAUUCAUAAGUUAAGGUAUGACAUUUAAAACAUGAGGUAUGAAAUUGUGGUGCGACCCAUAGUUGAGGUAGUUUUAUGUAAUUUACCCAAAAAUGAAACAAUUAUAAGACUAUAUUAUGGAGAUAGAUUUUUUUAUUUAUUUCAUAGAAAAAUGAAACCUUUUUUUUUUUUAACAAACAAUAUUAUCUACACUAAGGGGGUGGAAGAUGGCUAAGCUCACACUGAGCUAGCCACAAUAAUGUGGUUCAAAUUCGACUUUUGUAAGAAUCAAACCUAACUACCUAAGACCUCUCACUUACAAGUGAAGUAAAAUACCAUUAGACCGUAAUACUAAGUGACAAGAAAAUGAAACUUAUCUAUGUUUAAAAGAUGGAUCUUUCACUUUUUGUCACCUUUUUUUUUUCUUUUUUUUGGGUACUUCCCUCUUUUUUCUCAUAUUGUUCCUACCCCUCUCUCUUUCAUCCUCUGCUUUUUCAUACUAUUCGUUGAGGGUGCUUUUUUUUUUCUUUUAUGAUAACAAUUGAAAAUUUUUAAUUUUUUAAUUUUAGUUUUUUUUAAGUGUUUGAUUUUGAGAUUUUAAUGAUUUGGAUGCAUAAAUUUUGAAGCUAAUCUUUCAGAAUUGCUUAAGUUUUGAAGCUAAUCUUGCAGAAUUGUUGAAAUUCUAAAACUGGUAUUGUAGAAGUGCAUGAAUUUUGAAACUGAUCAUGAAGUGCUAAAAUUUUUGAAAUUGAUCUUCCAUAAGUGCAGGAAUUUUAAAAUUGAUCUUGCAGAAUUGUUAUAAUUUUGAAACUGAUCUUGUAUAAAUUAAUUUUUACAAAUCUGAAAUCCUUUUGAAGUGAAGUUUUAUGAAAUAUAUUUUUCUAUUUUUAACUCAGCUCCCUAUAAAAUAUAACUGGAUAAUGACAAAACGAAUAUUCUUUUUGCCACGCAAAACAAAUAUUCAAGUUAAGGCGCGAAUUAUAAGCCUGCACAAGUUAACCAUAUCUUAUCGAGUACGGAAUCUUCUCUACUUUACAAGGCUUAAGCAACUAAGAGUGCAUGCAUGAUAAUUCGAAGAACUUGAAUUUUGAUUCUCUGCCUCUUAAAGGGUGAUGCUAGUAGAAAAAACAACUUGCGCAACGAUGACAAUUUUGUCGCUUAAAGUGCGAUUGCGCAACGAAACUAGGAAUCCAUCGCGCAAAUGUUGAAAACUUUACGCAACAAAGGAUUUUGUCGUGCAAGGUAUUUUUUGCUUGAUGAAUCAAACCAUUCCUCGCGCAAAGGCCUUCAAGUAAACGUGAGUAAGGAGUUUUUUGGUGCAAAAGAAAUGGUGAAGAAGAAUUUCUUGCAUAAAGAUUGCACCACAAAUACUUCGUCGCACAAAUGGACAGUGGGCAUUGAAGUCGUCGUAUUUAUUGUAUACUUUACGCUACAAAGGGUUCGUCGCACAAGGUUUUGGGACCAAAUUGCACGACCAAAUGUUUGUCGCACAAAGUUCUGUAGGUUCUUUUAAAUCACAAUUUCACUGUAACUUUUUCUUACAUUGGUUUACUCACAACCCUAGAUUUCCUCCUGUACACCCACCCCCCUCCCCUUCAUAUCUCAAGGUCUUGUUUUAAUUUUUGAGAGGAUGGCCAAUUCCGAACCUUUUCCAAGUAAAGGAUGCGAGGGCAAAGGCUCUCAGAAAGGUAAUACUAAAUUGGAUAAAUCGCCAAAAUGGUCCCUAAGAUUUGCAUAACUCAUCACUUUGGUCCUUGAGAUUCCAAAUCGAUAAAAGUGGUUCCUAAGAUUGUCCACCAUCCAUCAUUUUGGUCAUUCCGUUAAAAACUCCAUUAAGUGUCCCGGAGCUCUUGGCCGGAAGUUUGGGCAAUUUUCAAAGCUUCGUAACUCAAUCAUUUCUUAGCCAAAUUUGACCCAUAAUAUAUCCAAAUGAAGAUGGGAAAGUGUAGAAUAAUAUUAUACCUAUUUCGAAGCCCAAUGGUUGAUGGAGAUGACCGGAAAAUAGCCUCAAAAUUGGCUGGUACGAGUGAAAACUUGAAAACUCGCCGGAAACUGGGUAAACUUUAAACGUUCAUAACUUCUUCAAUACUCAACGAAAUCAAGUGAUUCAAAACAAAAAAUCAUACUUCUCAAUGAGACUAAGAGAAUGGUACCUUUUUCAAUGGCUAACUCACCGUGGUUUGGCCAAAAAACGGCUCGAAAGUGGCUGUCUUGGUCUCAAGUUAGCCACUUUCGAGCCGUUUUCCUGCAAAACCAUGACAAUUUAGCCGUAAAAAAAAGGUACCAUUCUCUUUUUAUCAUCGAGAAGUAUGAUUUUCAUGUUUGAAUCACUUGAUUUCGUUGAGUAUUGAAGAAGUUAUGAACGUUUAAAGUUUACCUAGUUUCCGGCGAGUUUUCUAGUUUUCGCUCAGACCAGUCAACUUUGAGGCUAUUUUUCGGCCAUCUCCGACAACCAUUGGGUUUUGAAAUAGGUGUAAUCUUAUUCUACACUUUCCUAUCUUCAUUUUGAUAUAUUAUGGGUCGAAUUUGAUUAAGAAACGAUUGAGUUACGAAACUUUGAAAAUUGCCCAAACUUCCAACCAAGAGCUCCAGGACACUUAACGGAGUUUUUAACGGAAUGACCAAAAUGAUGGAUGGUGGACAAUCUCAAGGACCACUUUUAUUGAUUUGGAAUCUCAGGGACCAAAGUGAUGAGUUAUGCAAAUUUCAGGGACCAUUUUGGCAAUUUACCCUACUAAAUUUUAUAUGGAAUUAAUUGUUUAUUUUUUGUGUUGAAUAAAAAUUUUGGAUUAUUUACUAAGUUUUUUAGUAGGAAAAAAAAAGAAGGAAAGCUGAGGUGGUGAUCCGAUUAGGGCUGGUUGAAUGUCACUGUAAGCGAAUCAACUAUGGUGCAAUAAGAAGAUUUGAGGAGGCAGAGUCACACACCAUGCUUUGGCACGACAUUGUGCCGCUAGUGUGGAAUAAUUGUUCUGCAGAGUGUGCGUCUUAGAGAAAGGUACUGGAUGAGGUGAAGAAGUAUAUGAUGCAAGAGUUAUCUGUAAGUUCAAAUCAGUGAAAUAGCAUAAGUGAUUAAUGAUGAAACCGAUCAAAAGUUGUUGAUAUUCAUUGAUAACAUCUUCAAGGGGCACUUUUGCUAGUGGAAGAUGUCGCACAAGAUGCAGAACAACAGGGAAACCCUGAAGGACCAGCAAAAUAGAAAGGUUAUUAUUUUGUUUUUUAAUUGUUAUGGACGAAUAAUAGUUUUAUUUUAAGUAUUUUGUGGUUGGUAUUUUAAAAUAUUGUUUAAUUUUGAGUUGAAUUAUUUAUUUGGUUAUUAUAAUUUUGAUAAAUUUUAAAGUAAAGGAAAUUACAUAAAAAAAAUAAAUAACAAAUUGCGCGACGAAGUAGCCCCACAAAAAAAAUUUAGGGACGAAAGUUGCGCGACGAAUGUCUUAUUUGUUGGGCAAAAGAUUCGAUGGGAAAAACUUUGCACGAAAAAUUAUUAGCGCGCAAAUUAUGGAGUGUAGUAUGGAUGCGAAAUUAUUAGCGCGCGAAAAAUUAUUACCAUUCAAGGAUUAGUUGGAUUUCACGCAUGGAUGCGAAAGCAUGACUAUGGUCCAAUUAAUUCUUGAAUUGUCCCAUUAUUUGGACAGUUUGGGAAUGCAUAAUUAUGGAGUGUAGUAUAAGGUUCACAGAUUAGGUUUUGGUUGUGGGAAUUUUGGCGCCAUCUCUUUACGUUCUUCGGGUGCCAGAUAUGUAUUUUAUUGCUACGUCGUGCACUUGAAGAACUAUAGGGAGAUGUUGCUGAAUUUUCCCACAUCAAAAUCUAAUCUGAUUAAUACUUAAACGACGUCCCAUAAUUGUGCAUUCCUGAAUGGGAUAGAGCCCUUACCGGGGGCAUAAUGUAACUAUAUAUUGUUAAAGUUAUGGUAAUCAUUGUAUUUUUAUUGUGCUUGCAAACACUAUGGACAAACAGUGGAUAUAGAAUCCAAACAAAUGUGAAGAUGAAUACUUGGAUGGAAUAAAUGAUUUUAUUGAGUUUGCAAUUAGACAUAACCUAGGUGCAACUAGAAUCUGACGGUCGUGUAAGAUAUGUGACAACAUGUUAAGGGAGACAUUUGAAAAUGUUCGAUUCUUAUACUAAGAAAUGGGAUGAUAGAGACCUAUACUACUUGGAUUCAUCAUGGAGAACAAUUAGACCAUGCUUUGCCUUCAAACAUGAUAAACACUACAAGAAAACAUGGAUUAAGUGACAACAUUUUAUGUGACGCCUAUAAAUGGGUGAGGAAUUUUAAAAAAGGUUCACAUACAUACUAUUGUGGGAUACAAAAUAAUUUUGGAAUGUUGUUCGUCACAUAGCAAGCCUAAAUUCCUUACAAAUUUUUAGGCGCCAAAUUUUGCCGCUUAAUUGUUUUCACUGGGUGACGAAAAGAUUGGAUUCUUCACAUACUCUAAGAUUAGGUGACCUAGGUAUGUGAGAAAAGUCAAUUCAUCACCAUUUGAUUUACUAAAGGCAGAGGGAAAAAUAAAAUAAAAAAUCAUAAAACAAAGCCCCAAUUAUAACUCAUCUAUUCUACUUCCACCCCACUUCGUCUCUUAGUCUCUCAAUGUUGCCAAUGACGGAUUGUUGGUGGCCAUGACUGCAUCUCGCUUUCAUCUUCCUCAAACCUCAGAUGCUUGCUCUCGUACUCUACUCUCUUUGAUUUAAGAAGACCUAGUUUCUCAGCUGUCCUUUCUCCCAAUUUCUUCUCAAAAGGUACUCAAAUCUCUCUCUGUCAAUUACUGCACUUUUCUUGAUUUCUCUCUUGUAAAUUUGUCUCAACUGCGAAAAUUUGAAUUUUUGCUUAAAUGGGUCUAUGUUAUUCAUUGUUUUCCCAGAUGGGUCUCUCUUGUUUUCUCCUACAUUUGAUAAUUUAGCUCUUGUUCUUGUGCUUAUGUGUCUGUGUUUAUGGAAUUACUUUCAUGCUUGGGAUGGCCUUUGCCAUAUGGUAUUAAGGAUGAAUCAAUCAAAGCGAGUUCUGCGAUACAGGGUCAUAUAUUUAGUAGUUCUUGAAUCGAUUUGCCUUUUAGUUAAGUUGACAAUGAUACUCUAUCUAUGUUUAUAAGUUACGAUGAACAAAUUUUUGAAAUAUCAGCAUAACGCAAGUUUAAUUUUUAAGAAGUACUAUAUAUAUAGGUCCUUACUUGAUAUUAGGUGCAUUGUCAUAGAGGUUUUUUUUUUUGCAUUGUUAUGGAGUAGGUUUUUCGCUUAGUGUGGGACGGACCAGAAUCUUCUUAUUCAAGUGCUAUUUAAGUAAGAGGGAUUGCCAGUUGAUGAACUUUUUGCUGGGGAAGAGUCUGAUGAUAUGUUCUUGAAAUGUAAAAUCAUAUUUAUGAGAGCAUUUAGCACAUGGAGCAUGAUUUCUAUCGACUAAUUAGUACACAUUUGUCUUUUAAAGUUAAUAUAGGGAUGGGAGUGGAGUAUGUAUUUUUCAUAGAUUGAUUGAAUGUACAAGAGGGGAUAUAUAAUGAGGUAAAAGGUUACAAGCAACCCUACCUUGGCAAAUCCUACUAACCCGGUAAACCCUAAAGCUGUCACUCCUUAAAUUAAGAGAGUGCAGCAAGUAGCUAGUACACAACUAUCAACAAGUCAUCUAGAUGUCAAUCUUCCUCAAAUUAAGGGAUUAGACUUAAUAGAGAAUCCUAUGGAAAGAGGAAACAUAAAAUUUGGCAACAUCAGUCACCCCAUAUCGUCUGCAUAUGACUGAUGUUGCAUACUGAUGCUGCAUAUCGUCUAGUAUCCAUAUGCAGCAUCAGUAUGCAUCAUCAAUCACCCAUAUUGUCUAAUAAGAACUUAUAGAAUCUGUAAGAGCAUUAUGUGAAAACACAAAUAUCAUCAGUUUAUAGAAAUGCAGGGAAACACCUGUUUAGUUUCUUUUGUGUCUUGCAAAAAAUUUGAAAUAUCUCGUUUCAUUGUUCGAAGAAUGGUUACUUUCUUCUUUAGCUUUUGUUCUUGUGUUUAUGUGUCUGUGUUUGUGGAAUUGCUUUCAUGCUUGGGAUGGCAUCUGUAUUUGUUUAUUUUAUUUGUCAAUGUUUAUUGAAUUGUUGCCAUGUUGCACUACUGAUGCUGCAUAUCCUCAACUUUUUGCUCAAUGUAUUUGUGUGAUGUUGAGACUCCAUUCACUCAACCAUAAAGAAACGAUGAAGGUGGUGAUCCCAAUGUGUUGCUCUCAAUGUUUGCACAAAAAGCACGUCCAUUUGGAGCUCAUGUAUUGGUUGAACUUUUCAGGGAAGAAAUAGAAGUGGCAUAUUGGUAUAUCUUAGACAAUUGUGAAGAAAUAGAAGACUUCAAGAGGUAUGUGAUAGUAAUUGUUUUACAUAUAUUGAAAUAUUUAUAAUUCUACAACUUUAACUUAUAUUUUUUUUUUUAUGUAUGCAGUGAGCAUAUCCAGAUUUUGGAAAGAGAUAAUCAUGUCAAUGUACAACUGAGACAUAAACAGUUGUUUCUUGAAUGGUUUAGGCAAUGGGCCACGUCAUUGUAUUAUCAAGAACCUAGAUUGGUGAGUGAAGAAAUUUUUUUGUUAGUCCAAGGUCCGGAUUGAUGUAUUGUCCAAUACACAGGUUAUAUUGUGAACGACAUUCGCUAUUUGGUCACACAAGUUGAUCAAAAUCGUACAACGCAGAAUAGUGGGGUAAUGAUGCCAGGGUCGCACAAUGGUGAACCAUGUAACUUCUAUGGUAGAUUAAUGAAUGUCAUUAAAGUACAAUUUAUAAGAGGUUAUAAGGUGAUUCUUUUCAAAUGUCAAUGGUACAAUAUAGAUGCCAAGGGAAAAAGAUUUAUUCAGGAAUAUCAUCUUACAUCAGUCAAUGUAAAUAACCGGUGGUACGAUCGUGAUCCAUAUGUGCUAGCUAGACAAGCACAUCAAGUAUUUUACAUUGAUGACUUAAAGUUGGGCCAUCCUUGCAAAGUUGUGCAGAAGAUUCAACAUAAGCACAUUUGGGAUGUCCCUGAGAAAGAUGAUGAUAGUGUGGACCAUGAUAAUGAUGAAGACGAUGAUGAUUAUGUAGAUAAAAUGAAAUUUUCAUGAGACCAAUCCUGAAUGAGGAUGAUGUUGAUUCUGAAUCUUUUGAUGUUAAUGACAAAGAGGUGCGAAAAAUGUUAGGGCUAGAGAAGGAGGAGGAAGGGGAUGAGGAGGAGGAAGAGCAAGAGAAGAAGGAGGAGGAGGAAGAAGAGGAGGAGGAGAUGGAGGAAGGGGUUGCAACUUGUGAUACAGAUAGUGAUUGAUGAUUAUGGUGAGAUCUGUACAUUAUAAAUCAAUAUUUAUAUUCUCCAAUAGUCUAUUUACUUAUAUAUAUAUAUAUACUAAUAGUCAUAUUAUUUAUAACAAAUUAUGGAAAUUUUAAGUUUGUUUGAAUGUAUUUUUCAUAGAUAGAUUGAAUGUAUAAGGGGGAUAUAUAAUGAGGUAGAAGGUUACAAGGAACCCAUAUCGUGCAACAUCAGUCACCCCAUAUCGUCUAAUACUCCAUAUGCAGCAUCAGUCACCCUAUAUCGUCUAAUAUCAGUAUGUAACAUCAGUCAUAUGCAGCAUCAGUCACCUCAUAUCAUCUAAUACUCCAUAUGCAACAUCAGUCACCCCAUAUCGUCUAAUAUCCAUAUGUAGCAUCAGUCACCCCAUAUUGUCUAAUACAAAUAAAUGUUUAUUAUUAUAUGGUUAUAAUGAUUUAUCUAUGAUGUUCGUUUGUUACUUAUUAUUAUUAUUUUUUAAAAUUUAUUAGAUGACAACUCCUACUCAACGAGGAAAGAGGGUGAAAAGGGUGAGGGAUGCCCCACCUCCACCACCACCACUUCCUCCGCCACCUCCGCCACCACCACCUCCUCCACCACCUGCUUCUUCACCAGAAGAGCCAACAGACAUGAACUUAGGUAUUUGAGAAAGACUACUUACAAUUCAUUCAACAUUUUUAUUUAGGACUUGAUCUUUUAAUGCUGCUUUAAACAAGUUAUAAAAUUAAUCAACCACAUAUAUUCUUUUUUAAUUUUUAGAGACAUAUUUUAACUUUAAUGCCAAAAAGAUGACACAUGGAAAGUCAUGUGGGAAAGGCCUCCACGAUAUUUUGGAGGCAAAUAAUGGGAAAAAGAUGCUAGUCAUGUUUGAUUUCAAAUUCCAAGUUCCAAGUGAUUUGGUAGUAUCAGGUUUUUUCCCUACCGAGAUAGGGAAUAUUGUUCAGACUCACUCGCUAGUUUACUACAAGAAAUGGAUGAAGGUCCCAUCUUCAGAAAAGAGGACACUGCAGAAUAAGUUGCUUGUGAGUUUGAUUUUAAUUUAGUUUAUUCAUAAUAAUUUCAAGCACUCACUUUUAUAUAUUUAUGUUUGAUAAUAUAGGUAUUAUUUGUGGUGUACUUAUCUCAUCCAAAGAUAAUUGAAUAUGUUGAUAAGAAGAUGGUGAAGUUGUACUCUAUGUUUAGGCAUUUAUUGUAUAAGUACUACUUGUCAUGUGGAACACCUGCAAGAGGACGAGCUAAUCUGCCAAAUGAUCGGAUAUGGAAUGGAAGACCUAAGAGUCACUGGAACUGGCUAUGUGAUAAUGUUUACACUACUACCCACUUUUUGGUAUGCAUUAUAUAUAUAUAUCAUUUUCUAAUAUAUGUCCAAGUUAGAUGCCAACGUUUUCUUAUAUUGUUGAACAACAAUUUUUUUUUAUCACAAGUUGAUUUUGUAAUAAAUGGAAUGAGCAUAGCACAAUGCUUUUUUUUAAUUAUUUUAUUUUAUUAAAAGUUAAUAUAUAAGCAUAUAUUAACUUUUACAUGUAUUUGUUGGUAUUAAUAUAUAUAAGCUUGUGAUAAAUAAUCGAAUGCAGGGCUUGUGAUAAAUAAGCUAUGCUUCUUCACUGGUGAGCUUAUAUAUAUAUAUAUAUAAUGAAGAGCUUGUACAUGUAUUUUAUUGAUAAAUAAGUUUUGCUUCUUCACAAGCUUUUACAUGUAUAUAAUGCAGAGCUUCUUCACUGAUAAAUAAGCUCUGCUUCUUCACAAGCUUUUACAUGUAUUUUAUUGGUAUUAGGCAUAAUCGAAUGCAAAGCUUGUUUGCAUUUAUUAGGCUAUUCAUUGCUUUUAGUUCUACAUUUCAAGUUGGUAAAAUUUGAGAAUGUCUACAAGAGAACGAGAGCAAAAAUCAUUGGAUAUAGUGUUUAUGAAAAUUAGAUUCUAAUUGAUUGGAGAAGAUGUUAGAUGGUGGUAUUCUAUUGCAUUUGAACAAAUAUGUAAAACUCAAAUAUAUGAAUAUGUAUAAGUCUGGGAGGUAGGAGCUUCCCAAAUUGUACACCUUUACAAUACUAACUCUUCUUUUACUUGUUAUGUACCACUUGUGUAAUGUAGGAGCUUUCAAAGCAAAAUGGUAAUAAUAGGAAGAAACUGAAGUAUCACCACAAGGGAGGAGCGAAGCCAUUCAUUCAACAUGCUAGGAUAGCUCACAAGGUAAUGAAACUAAAGUACUUAUAAUACUCAUUAUGCACUCUCACGUUUGUAUCUUCAUUAUUAAAUAGAAAGGAGAUUCAUUAUCAAUGAUUGACAAUUGGGGUGCUCUUCACAAAGACAAGAACAGCCAGUGGAUCAAUGAUGUUGCUCGAGACAAAUAUGUAAGUCAUUCAUGGGGCACUCAUUUUUUGUCAUUUCAAAUGCAUUGUAGAUUAAAAUUUUACAAUUGACAAGAUACAACUUAAGAAACAUAGUUGAAAUGAACAUGAAAAUUUGACAUGAUACUAUAUGUUUGUCCACCCCCAAUAUAUCUUAUGCUAACUUUGCAUCUGUUACUUGUUGAGAAAAACAUUUUAUGUGCCUAGUCCAAUUUAAUCCGUAGUAAAAUAGAAACUACAAUCAUGUUUACAUACAGGUUUUGCAUGGUGAUUUGCUUCUGCAUCAGAUAAGGAAAAUAUACAAGUGGUCAAGUUGUGUUUUCUUAAGCAUAUUAUAGCUAAAAUGUUUGGAAUGAAAGAAACUAAAUUGUUUCUAUUUAAUUAUGAAAGGAUAACAUGAAGAAAAUGAAGGAUGAAAUGAGGGAGAAGCUGAUCCAAGAAGCACCUGAAGGUACACCAUCAGACUCCAUACAUGUGCCAUUGGAUGAUGAGUUUGGAAUCAUGGUUGAAAACCUUGGGAGGAAGGGAAAAUUAGUUAAUGGUGUAGGUGUUUUUCCUCGUACCUCUGGUUGCAUUUCUUCUAUGGCAUCAAGUUCCGAGUUAACUGAUAUAAGAUCUCAGAUCAAGCUUCUAUCAGAUGGUUUCCUAAAAUUGCAACAAGAGAAUGCACAAUUGAGAGCUCGAUUGGAUUUACGUAAUGAUGAUGAAAAUCUAUUCACAAAAUUCAAGGCAUUUAUUGCUGCAAGUCAAGAGAAGACCAACAACUCUACAAAAUCUGAUGGUGAUAUUUCAGAGGGUGAAAAUACUUAUCCUGAGCUGGAAGAACAUGAUUUGGAAGAGGAAUGAUGUCCAUAUUGUGUCUUUUGCGGUUAGUUUCAAGUAUGCACAUGGUACACCUCUUUUGUUAGCACAUGGAACACCUAUUUUGUUAAUUAGCACCUGAAUGUGCCUUGGACUUGUCAUUUUUUAGUACCCAAGAUGUCUAUAUAUAGGUGUUACUACACUUCAUUAUUCUAGCUUAGACUUCUCUUUUGUUGGUACCUCAAGCUAUCAUUUGUUAGGCACCUCAAGCUAUCUUUUGUUAGGCAUCUCAAGCUCUUUUAAACUUCUCUUUUGAGAUAAGUCACCAUGACUUUAACUUUUGGGAUGUACAUUUGGUGAAUGUAUUCAACUUAUGUGUUUUAAUUGUUGAUUAAUGAAAAUGUGAAGUAUUACCUUAUAAUUGUUAUGAACUGCAAUUCUAGAUUACGAAACAAGAAAAAUAAUUAGUUUGUCAUUAUUAUUUCUAAAAAGGUAUUUGAUUUAAACAUAUGUGAUGUAAGAUGCACCACAUAUCAAAGGAAUAUUUGACAUUUUCAGCGUCACUUAGUGUAAACUAUAUCAUCUGGUAUCAUAUUGGAUGACUACAAAAUCAUCACUUAUAAACCUGAUAUGAGAUGAAAAAAUAGGUCACAUAAUUUGGUAUUUGAUGAUGUAUAAUUCGUCGCACAUAUUGUUAUUAAGUGACAUAUAAUUCGUCACACAUAUUGUUAUUAAGUGACGAAUGUUGUGUCACGCAUCACAUGGACUAUAGGUGACGCUAUAUAGGUGACGAAAUUGGUGACGCUAGAAUUCAGUCACAUAUAGUCAAAUGUGACAAAUUUCUUGUUUAUGUGAUGAAUGUCUGUCGCCACCUAAGCCAUGUUUUCUUGUAGUGAAAAGUGGACAAUGUUGAACCUAAUGUAGAUCAUAACGAACAUGUUAUGGAUAUUCUAAAUGAUGCUUUUCCAUUUCCCUCAAUGAACACCAGCCAGGAAGGGGAUGAUGACAUGCCUCCAUCAUGGAUAGUGAAGCUUUAGAACAAUAUGAUAAACUAUUAAAAAGUGCCGACCAAAAAUUAUACCUGGAUGCAAAGACUUUUUGGUGCUCACGACCAAUUGUGGAGUUGAUGCAUGGCAAAACAGAGUAUCGUAUGUUGAAUCAAUGUUUUAAUUACUUUUUGAGGGUUUUCAAGAGAAUUCUUUUGAAGGACAAUAGUUUGUCGAAAGAUCAUAAAAGUGCGCAAAAGGUGUUGAAUGGUCUCGAAUUUGGUUAUGAAGAAGAAGAAAUGGACAAGUCAAGCAAAAAAAGUAGAAAACUUCCCCAAAAUGCGGCAAAGGGGAGAAAUCUCCUUUAAAUUCGGCAAAAGGGUCCAAAUUGAUCCUAAAACAGGAAAGAAAGUUAAAGCAUCUUCAUAAAACAAGCAAGAAUUGAAGAUUGCUCACAAAAUAGGCAACAAGGCCUCAUAAUUUUGGCCAAAGGAGUAAAGUGGCUGAAAUUAAGACACAAAACAUGCCUAAAUUCUCAUAUGGAUGAAUUAGGACAUAAAUAAAAGUCAAAUCCACCCAAAGGCAAGCCUUGAGAAGCCUAUAAAUACAAGGUCCUCCCACAAGCAUAAGGGUCGAAAAAUCUCUACACAGAAGAAUCUUUGCCAAACCUUUGAAGACUAAUACGUUGUCAAAGCUCUCUUCGAAGAACAUUCAACCAAAGUCGAAGCUUUCUCUCGACCAAAGCCGAAGCACUUCCUUGAAGAAUCAACAAGCGCUCGUGCCGAUUCCUUCAAGAUUUUGUUGCAAGCUUAUAAACUUGUAGCAACAUUCAUUUCAAGAUCAAGUCGCUAAGACCCUUGAAGCAACGAAAUAUUGCAUCAAACACUACCUUUGCCGCACCCUUGAGGUGAAGAUCAUCCGCACGUGGUUUUCAAGCUCAAAACUUGAAGCAAUUGUUCAACCGUUCGUCCAAGAUCAAGUCAUCACGACCCUAGGAUCAACAAUCAACCAUCUACAUCAAAUUUGAAGACGGAAUCAAAGGAAAAGUUGUAAACAAAGAUUGUAAUCUACAACUUCAAAUCAAUACAAAUUUACUUUGUACACGUGUUCUUGUUUUAUUCAAUACAGAAUUUUCGUGUUCACACCUUAAUUUUUAGUUCUAACAGUUGGUAUCAGAGCCAAGGUUAGUUUCACUUGGCUUCAUGUUUUGUUUUGUUAUCACUUUUCUCUCACCACCAUCUCGAGUGUUUGCAGAUAAGGAAUCAAGAAUUACAGAAGUCCAAAUAAUUAAUAUACUGAACAAGUGUUCGAAGAAUUCCAUAAAAAAUGGGUUCUCAAUGAAAUAUUGUCUUAGUGGUGUAAAAUUGUGACUCAUUGAUCAUAACAUGCAUCUAUUUCUCCAUCAUGCGAUUCGAUCCAAAGCUGACAUAUAUGAUGUAUCAGGUUCCUUGGAUUGUGGUUCAUGGUUUGCAUACAUGAAAAUACUACGUCCAUGUGGUUGUGUUCAUUGUGAAUCUUCUAAUAAAAAAUAUUAUGCUAUCGCGAUUUUCUUAUGGUUAAUAAUAAUAAUAAAAGUGAGGAGGUGCAUAUAAGUUGUGUUGUUCAUUAUCAGUUCAUGUCUUGAUUUAUCAUCACAUUGCUCUAUGUUUGGAGAUGCUAAGAUGGUUGGGAAGAUGCUUCAAUUUCUUGUCCUGUUUUUCUGUUAUCUUUUCUAUUACUCUUGUUUCUCAAGAGGAUAUAAUUUGGAUUAAUUCUUUUAAGUGUCUUCAAAAAAGGGGAAUACUUUUAAUGGUUCGACUAAUGAGUUAGGACAUGGUAUUUGGCAGGCUCUAAUUCUUGUCCAAACACCUGGACCAAGAAAUUGUUUAAUGUUAAACUAAAUAGCCAUUUGGUAAAAUUGCAUUGUUUGUAUGUUUUUGUAGAAAAUACUUCUUGCUUAAAUGUGUUGUAUUGUACUGAGUUUCAAUCAAGUGUUAAUGUAAUAAGCUAACAUGAAAUGUUGUCGUCUUCAGUGAAUGCAAUUGCUAUGAUUUUCUCUUUCAUUUAACCAGUGAUGGAAGUGGUGGUAAUGAUAUUGGUUUGAAAGAUUGUUGAGUUGCCUUUGAUAUCACGGAUGCACCAGCUUGGUGGACUAAUGGACACGUCUUUAAUGGUUUCUGGCCAAUUCUUUCCUUGGUUGUGAUUAUAAUUAUUUAUUAUUAUAAUUGUUUACAUUAAUGUUUUUCUUGGUAUGUCUUAUCCAGGAAUGGUGUCAACUUAAAACAACUAAGGCUGAAUAUGUCUUAUUGGAACAAAUGAUCAUGUUAUUUAACUAUUGGACAAAUGUUUAUUAAAUCUUCACUAAAGUGGGAUUUUAUGAAAAUUUUGGUUCGGGAAAGUAUGCAUAGAAUUGUGAUUUAAUUUUUCAACCUUUUGGGUUGAUGGCAAAACAAAACCAAAAUUGCAGUGCCUACAUGAAGAUCUUAUAGGAGUUGGUCUUGGUCAUGGUGGCAGAGACGACAAAGUUUCCGAUAGACUUGACGAAGACGAGCACGGCGAGUUGGUGUCAUCUAGCCCUUGAGCUCGUGUAGGCCAUUGGAACUGGGAAGGUUGCAACUCAGGCUCAGGAAGUAAGUAAUGUCUUUUUUUUAUUUAUCUGGAUGUGGUUUUGUUUAUUAGCUUCAAUUUGAGUCGAUGUAUGUAUCAUAUUGCAAAGUGAUUCUUUAUGUUUCUACUAAUUUUUCAUACAAGUUAUUGUUGAGGGGAUGCUAAUAAAUGGGGACACUUAGAAUUAAUGUUGGUUAAAGAAAGUGACUUAAUUGAUCUUUCUGGGUGGUGCAUCUUGUUUGUUUUUGUGGAGGUGAAAUUAAGUUAAACAACUUCUUCUAUGAGAGCAUAAGUGCUUUUUAUUUCAAUAACUUUAUUCCUUUUGAUGGGUGUAGUAUUUGCUUCCUGUUUUGAUAUGAGUUUAUAGAUUCUACUGAGUAAUGCCGUUUUUGAAGUAGAUGGUAGGUUGCAAGGUGGAACCUGAUAUAUGUGAAAAUAAUCCAUAAUUAGAUUCUACCAUUAGUGCAGGAAAUUGGUUUUUUCAUACGAUGUUUGGUUGAUUUCUCCUACUUACCAUCAAAUUGAAAUGUUAAAAUUAUGCAUGGAUACUAGACAAAGGCAUAAAUGGUAGCACUGUUUUAUAUGCUUUGAAUUGUGUUCUAUCUUAAUCUAUUGUGUGAUGGCUAUACAAUAAAGAAUUAAGGCAAUUUAUGUCUCUUGCUCAAAAGUGAGACAUAGACAUGCAUGAUUAAAUGAACUUGUUCUCAGGGCUGCUUCAGUUUGAGGCAAUUUUGAGUUAAAGAUUGCUUAAAUGGUUUUGACCAAAUAAUUAUUAGGGUUUGGGGUUCACGUUACUAAUGUUUCUUGGCUUUUUUAGCUGGUUGCAAUCACAACAAUAAAGUCUUUUGCGAUAAUAUUUUUUGCACUAACCUUUACUUCUUCAGGAAAAACUUCUGAGCAAGAUUUUGUAGUGCAAGCUUGUGUACAUACUGGAUUAUGUAAAUUAUGGUUUUAAAACUUGUAACAUGUCAAUAGUCUUUCCCAAAGAGAGGAAUGUAUGAAUGGUUUGAGAUUUUUUCAGGGUAUAUAUUUUUAAGAGAAUUAAGUUGACUAUUUUCUUGUCCAAAGACUUGAAAUCUUGGUUGUUUUAUUCAUCUUUUAUAUGAUUGUUAUACAAUAAGGUUACAUAAUCUAUUUUCAAAAUGAUGGUUGUUUAUGUUUCUUGCCCAAAUGUGUAACAUAAACAUGUACGAAUGAUGGACAUGAAAUAUUUUUCCAUAAAGGAAAAGGUGAAGGCAGGAGUAUCUUCACAUAAAGCCCUUGGCUAUUGGAGUGUUCAAGGAUCAUGUCAUGGAUAUGGGAAUCAUUGACUCAUUCAAUUCUGUUGUUCUGUGGGAGUGAAUUUCCCUAUUUGAAUAAGUAGUGAUAAAGGAGAGGUUAUAUGUUGAUAAUAUAAUUUUAUAGAGUUUGAAUACGUGGAAAAGUUAACAUCGUAUUUUUGUGCAAGCACAUUCAGAAUGCUUUGAAAUACAACUUAAGGUAUUUUACAACUACUCCAUUUAAACCGGGAUUUGGUACAACAGGACAAUAACCAUACUUCCACAAUAUAUGGAAGUUGGCGGCCAUUGCCACAAUAAAUGUAGGAAUUCCCUGCUCACAGAAAAAACGUUCUAAGAAAAGAGUUCUAUCACCAUAAGAACAUAAAGGCUUCAAGUGAGUAGAAGACUUUCCCUGGACGAUUACUUGUAGACUAAGGUUCUCUCGUUCAUCCAACUCAAUGUCGUCUUCAAGUAUCCUCAAAAACUUUACAUGAUUGUAUAGCAUUAACCUUGUACAUAUAUAUAUAUAUAUAUAUAUAUAUAUGUAUGUAUGUAUGUAUGUAUGUAUGUAUGUAUGUAUAAAAUGACGCAAUGGUAUGUGGUUAACACGACACACAUACAUAUUGAUCUUGUUCUAAAUAGCAUGUAAUCCUUGUAUAGAGCUAACCCUAAUUUUUAGUUCUCACAUAUAUAUAUAACAAAGACAGGGAAAAAGCCAUGCUUAUUUUUCACACGAAACGAAUAAAGAUGAAAUAGAAAGAUAAAAAGUACAAAUUCCAAAAAGAACCAGAUUUCCCCAAGUGGUCAUUGUCUAAAUUCCUUCUGAUUCCAUAAAACGUCCGAAAAAAAACCUGCUAUGGAACUAACAAGAAGGAAAAAAAAAAAAAAAGUUUGUUCAGAUACAUAAUUUCGAGUGUUAUCAGACAACCAUAAAUCAGGCAAUGAAAGAGUGGCUUGUGAUAGAUUAAUUGACGCCACCUAGACCUGUAAACGGGUCGGGUUUAUUGGGUUUGGUCGGGUUCAACCCGACCCGUUAAGUUAACAAGUCACCCAAACCCGACCCGUUAAGCUAACAGGUCACCCGUUUCACCCGUUAACAAUUGUUAUUAUUAUUUUUUUGCAUAAAGUUUAUUUUUUGUUAUUAAGACGUUACUAAAAUUACUAAAAUAUCAUCAACUAACGGGUGCUAACGAGUGUUAACGGGUCCUAACGGGUUGACCCAAAGUAACUCGUUAUUUAAUAGGUUGUUAACAGGUUCACCCGUUAGCGACCCGACCCGUUAAGCAUCCACCCAAAUACAAAUAUUAACGGGUUGGGUCGGGUCGGGUUAACGGGUUAGGUCCAAAAUGCCAGGCCUAACGCCACCCCUUCCCCCAUCUUAAAAAAUUAUGAAUAUGGAGUUCAUGGGGCUGUAAGUACCAUGGAUCUAGACCUGGCAUUCGUGUCGUAUUUUCUGUGUUCGUAUCGUUUUCAUGUUAUACCCGAUAUCUUAACGGGUCGUGUCAUGUAACACCCGUUAAAAUAAACGGGUAAAAUGACCCGACCCGAAAUCGAUCCGAUAAUAUUAACAGGUAAUAUGACUCGACCUGUUACCUAUUAAGGAAAAUAUAUUUUAAACCAAUAAAUAAUCAAAUGAAAUACAUAAUACUAAAUAAGUAUAUACAUACCACAUUAUCACAUCCUAAACAUAAAAACGCAUUUUUCUUUUAAGUAUAUAUUUACAUACCCAAAAUAAGAGCAUAAUAAAAAAAACAUUAGAACAUUACAAAAUAUCAAAUGUUCAAAAGAUUUGCAAAAUUAAGGAUAUUGGAACAUUAAAACAUUGGAACCUUGCACAUUUUCUUCCAAUCAAAGCUAGUCCUGCAUGUCAAUUGUUCAAGAACUCAAGUGACAUCUUAGGGCUUGUUUAGUAUCCUAUUUGAAAUUUUUUAUAAUUUCCCAAAACAUUUCUUAAGAUUUUUUCUUGAAAACAAUUUUCUUUAAAACUCAAAAACUUGUUUGGUAUGCGAUUUAAAAAUUUUAAAUCUUACAACUUAAACUAGACAAAAAGAUCCAUAAAAAGGUGGUCGAGAGAGAAAGAGAGAGAAAGAGGAGAGAAGAGGAAAGAAAGUAAGAGAUGAUUGGAGAAAAGAGAAAGAAGUGAGAAGAUCGGAGGAGAUAGAGAGGAAGAGGAGUGAGAGAAAGAAUUGAGAGAAUGAAGAGCAAAUUGGUGGAGAGACGAAAAAGGUAAAAGAAAAAAGAGAAGGGGGAGAGAGAAAGAAGAAAAGAGAGAUAGAUUUGGAGUGAGGGGGGAGGAGGGAGAGAAAAGAAAGGAGUGAGUUUAAGUUUAAAAACUCUAAAAACUCACUUUUUGUGUUUUUAGAUAAUAGACUAUAUUUUUGAGUUAAUCUUGAGUUCAGUUUUUUAAAAUAGUCCUACCAAACAACUUUUUAAGGCCUAAAACUUGAAAAUUGUUUUUGAGUUUAAAAAGUUGGAUUCACGUAGAGUACCAAACAGGCUCUUAGAAUUGCUUAAUAUGUAUGCUGAAGGCCGGAUAACCAACAAAUACAAAAAUUAAUCUGUGAAAAACUAUAUCCCAAAGGGUACUACCAUCACAAAGAUUAAUCUAAGCAUAUGAGAUAGCUCGCAAGUUAUUUUCAGCUCGUACCAACUCUAUAAACUCUUAAAGUCUCAGCUGAAAUUCGAAUUUACUCUGCCAUCAAUAAAGCAUUCAGCAUUAGACAAGAUAAUACCAAGUUUUCGAUGUGGUGCAUUGAGUGCAAUUCAAUUGGUAUACUUGUCAAUAUAUAGGAACCAUUUUGAGGAUGGAAGCAGUUCAAGGCACCAACUACUACUAACUUAAAAUGAAUUUCAAGAACCAUUUUAUCAGCAAUUCACAAGCAGUUCAAAGAAAUGUAGCAGAAUCAACAUACAUGUGGGAGCAAUAUCUUUCACCACCAUAAAAGCAAAGGCAGAAAAAUGACUUACAAAAGAACCUAGAAUGUAUGAAAGAUAAGUCAUCUCUAUUACUUUAAUCUCCUAUUAUGUAUUCCAAGUAUGGCGAAUCAUACGAUAGAAACCGUGACUAGCACAAAUAGUCCCUUGCAAUUAGGAUACCCAAAAAAAAUUGUAAGAAGAUAAUAACAAGUCAAGAUUCAGAUAAAUAAAGGGUACCUAAACCCUUCUAAACUUUCUUCCAGACACAAGCAACAUAACGUAUCAUUUUAGAGACAAAAUAGUAGUAUUAACAAACUCGUCUAACCCACAAAUUAAAAGCAAGCUUCCUUCCCAUCUAACCCCGAUCUCCCUUUUCGUAUCCUCUUUCUGAUCGAACUCUUUGUCGCCCUCCUUCUUUCUCUCCAAUUCUACAGGAUAUAUAAAUAGGCAUCUCCAUCCUAGGCUUCCCAAAAUCCAUAUCCUCAUCCUUUGUAACCUCUAAAUUCCCUCCCCACAUAUGAAUCUAAAUCAACAUCUUCAGGCAUUUCUAAGUAUAGAAAAACUUUGUUCUUGCUGAGAUCGAUUAAAGUAGUAACGGAACUUAAAAUGAAAAAGCAAUAACGGAACUUAUUCACGAAAUAGCCAAAGUCUUACAUAUUUUUCAUCCAAGUAAAUAGCCAAAUUAAGAGGCAAAAUCGAACCUGGAGUGGAAUCUAGAGAAUGUAGAAAUGUAGAGACGACCAGAGAUGACAAGAAUGAUUAUGUCCACUACACGAGGGAGGAGAAAAGAGAUACUGAGAGAGGCUACCGGAAUAACAUACGGUGGGAUAGAGGGGCUAGGAAGAACAGACGGCAGGUCGGGAGAGAGGGUUACCGGAGUGGGGAGAGAGAAAUGGAUUAGGGCUUUUGUUUUGAUUAGAUGGUAAAAUUGGAAAAUAUUGGAAAAUAUAAGGGGUUUUUUUUGUCCAAAAAAGUUUUAAUAAUAUAAGUCAAAUAGAAUCCAACUAUACAGGUUUACUUUCAUUUAUUUUACGGCUGUUAUUUAAGUAAAGUCUUUAAUAGUUUUUUAAUUAAUGUAGGAGUGUAAAAAAUAUAGAAAAAAAUAUAUAAAUGCUCGUAAUGACAAGCCGUUGAUUGUUGUUUACAUUUAUGCUUCAUUUUUCUUAUCAAAUUUUGUUUUUUCAGAUUUUGUUUUUUUGAAAACAUGAUCUUUUAGAGGAUGUAAGAAGAUGAACGGUUUGGAUCGUUGAUAUUAUGUUCAGAGUUUUACGGUUAGUGAUAAUAUUGCUUGAUGUUUAUAAAGUUUCUACAAACUAUGUGACAACGACUCAUAUUUCAGUUAACCAUAAAUAUUAAAACGUGAUAUCAAAGAUCUGAACCGCUCAUCUUCUUACAUCAGCCAGAUGAUCAUGUUUUCAAAAAUGAAAAUUUAAAAAAUGAAAUUCAGUAAGAAGAAUAAAGCGUAAAUGACAAUUGACGGUUAAAUAUAAAUUUAAGGUUUAUGGAUUAUAGUGUUGGAUUUCGAAGCUGACCCCUUCAUGAAAGUUGUAAAGCUUGUCACUAUGAGUGAUUGUGUGUGUGUAUAUAUAUAUAUAUUUUACAUUUUUUACACUUCUACAAUAAUUAUUAUUAAUUUUGUCCUCAAAUAAAAACCAGUAUUCAUGAGGGUUUGGAGGAUUUUAAGGGUAACCAUUAUCUACUCGUGGAGGAAUAAUGAUGAAUCAUGAGUGUUUAUAUAUUCUUUCACAUUUUUCAUACUUGUAUGUAUGUCUUCUUAGUUCUUGCCUGUACAAAUACUAUACUAGUUUAUUUUAAUUUUGGAUAACAACAUGUUAAGUAAAAUUUAUCCUAGUAAUGAUACUAAGGAACUCUCAUAAUAAAAAUAAAUAAUGACUAAAAUUUUAUUUUUUAACUUAUAUAGAAUAAUAAUACAAAACUAUAUAUUUAAUAUAGAAUAUAUUGUAUAUAUUAAUAUGUCUAUUGUAUUUUAUAAUAAAUCUUUUAGUAAUUAAACUUUAAAAUUAUCAAAAUAAUUUUUUUCUUAAAGGGUCGAAACGGGUUACCCACGUGUUACCCGCGUGUAUACUCGUUAAGAACCCAUUAUUAAUGGGUUCUUAACAGGUCAUCCAAUAAUGAUCCGAUUAGUUAUCGUGUUAACCCGAAACUCGUUAUUUUCUUGUCGUUUUCUUGUUGUGUCAGAAACUGCCAGGUCUACAUGGAUCUUCUUACUCCCAAUCAGGUUGCCCUACCAGGUCUCACUGGUGUUACAUGUAGGUUGUGAUGUGCCUUGAGAUAGCCGAAAUGUCAUGAAAUCUCGGCUUUUGAGGAUGUCUUUUUUUUUUUUUUUUUGGUAAACGCUUUGAGGAUGUCUUCAGCAACAAGAAACAUGUAAGUUGUAUGUGCAACACAUUCAGAUCAUGGGCUAGGACGAAAGAAAGAAAACAAUUGAUCCGAUAUCAACGAUCAGUACCAGUAAAUAGACAAGAAUGGAAGAACUCCAUUGGGUCUCGAAAGGGAUGGGAUGCUGAGGUGAGAGGUCGUGUCAGGGGGGGUAUCCAGUAACGGAUUUUGGAAUGCAAUGAAGGGUCAUCAAUCAACCCUCCUCUCUACUCGUUGGUUAGGUCAUUCACUCAAGGGUACCGAGGAUGUUGACUCAAGGGAAUCAGCUUGUGGGUAGAACCGAAUAAAGCUUCGAAUCAUUAGUUUAAAGUUAAGAUGUAGAACUAGAUCAUAUAUGGGUCAAGAGAUCUUCAAUCUCCAGUUCUAUUCUUUUUCUCCAACCUUUGAUGAUUAAAAUCUAUUUUGAAAAAUAAUGAACUUACUAAUCACCCUACAUGGUUUUUUUUUCUUUUUCUUUUUUUUUUCAAUCUCUCUUUUAUUUAUUUUUAUUAUUUUAUUUUAUUUAUUUUUUUUUUUUUUUUGGGUAUUACGAAAGCUUCACUAGGGGUGGGCAUAGAAACCGUGAAACUAUGAAACCAAAUUGAACUGCGACAAAAUAAAUCGUUAAAAACCGUGUUGACCAAAAAAAGUCAACAUAGGUUCAAGCAUAGGACUGAACCGUUCAUAUCGGUUCUGGCUUCGAUUCUCAUGUUGAUCCAACCGCUUAAAACUGAACCGAACUGUGAAUAUAAAUAAUUAACUAAAUCUAAUAAUUGUAUACAGGUGUUACUAAAUGAGUGGUGAAAAUCAAACUAAUUUCGCCUAAUGCAACUGCAUGGAAGCAUUUCUUAAUUAGGUUUUUCACUUGCACGGUUCACCCAUUGAGAUAAAACACAUAUUAAAAAAAAAAAAAAAAAAAAAAAAAAAAGAGGUCAUUUUCUCUCCUAAAUCUCCAAAUUUGACAUUCAGGUUUUGAUUUUAUAUUUUUCUUGGAUAGAAUGAUCUUAAAGUUUUAAGUUACAUUUUGCUUUUUACUUUCCCUUUUUAUGGGCCUUUUUUUAAUCUCUUGAUAAGUCCCUUUUGGACUUAAAUUAUUGUAUUCGUACUAACAUUCUUACUGCACAGUGAAUAUAUUUGUAUGUGUGGAUGUAUAUUUGUAUUAUAAAUGUAUGUGGACAUUUGAAUUGUGUUUCUUUUUUUGUUGCUUGGUGUUAAGGAUAUUUACAUUUUAAUUUAGUAUUUGAAAAGGAUAUAUCUUGUUUGUAACUUUGUAUAACCAUUUUAAAAGUUGUAUUUGAAUACAAGUAUGCAAAAAACAAGGAAACUUUAACUACCAUUUUGAUUUGGUAUUUAAAUGAUUUAGUAUUCAAAACCGUAAACCGACAUGAAUCGAAUUGAAACCGGUUUGAAUUGAAUCGUACAAUUUUAAUAAAAAAUUUAAGCGAAACCACACCGAACCAAACCAUUAAUAUUUUUCAGUUUCAAUUUCAAUUUCGGUUUGAGGAUAAAACUGCACUGAACCGUACAGUGCCCACCCCUAAGCUUCACUUUUUUUGUCUACGCCAUUUAUACAUAUAGAUUAUUUGAAAAGUAUUUUUUAAAAGAAAAUGUGGGGUUGGUCAAGAUGAUCUUCCAUUGAUUAUUUGAAAAGUACCUUUUAGAAGAAAGUGUGGGGUUGGUCAAGAUGAUCUUCCAUAACCAAUCAAAACAAGAAAAACUAAGAUGAAAAUGGUUUUAAAACUUUUUAACGAUAAGGGUAAAAUAAAUAGUAAAAUGAAUAGUACUAAGAUUGACUUUUUAGUGUAAAAAAUGGUCAAAAUAUUUCAUCCUGUUGUAAAAUCGACGGUGGGUGCAAUGGAAUAAAUGAAAUAAGACACAAGAUUUACGAGGUUCCUCUACAGUCUGUGUGACUGGAGUAUGUCCUCAGGGCAGCAGUAGUGCUUUCAUUAUAAUUUGAAAUAAUAGGAGUACAAAGAUAACUCUCUAUAUUCUUUUCUCUCUUCUUCCUCACUUUUCUCUCUUCCUUUUCCUUCCUUCUUCUCUAUUGUGAGUCUCUCACUUCUCUCCCUUUCUUCCUCCGUAUAUUUUCAUUUUAUAGAAAAAGGUUACUGUAGCAACACUAUUCACUUUACAAAAAUUUCCACAAAUGAAUAGUGAAAAUACUGUGCAUAAAUAGUAACAAACUAUUCAUGUGGCCCAUCCACAUAUUAUUCACAACACUCCCCCUUGGAUGGCCACAAGUCUUCGAUUAACUAUUUAAAAUCUUGAUCUGUUUUGAAUGCUCCCCUUGAUAAGUAUCUCCCCCUGAUUUCAAAUCAUUUAGGUUGAUCGCUGAUCAUUCUACUUCAGUCUCUUAGUAGGAAGAGUUGUCGAAAGAGGUGUUUUACUUGUUGUUAACUUUCCACGGGCUUGUUCUUGAACUGGGCUAGAAGGCCUUCUGCUAGACUUUCUUCAAAAAUCUGAAUUUACUCCUUUUAUCUGGAGCUAAAUUUGACUCAAGAGUGGUGGACACUUGAUCUUGAAUUGGACUUGUGAUUUCUUCAAGGACUUCGAGGCUUGAUCUUGAAUGAAAUUGAACCAUGAGGAGCUUCACUUGGCAAGUGAUUUUUGGUUUUGUCGGAGAUGAAUCAACACGUGUUUGUUGCGCUUGUCUCCACAUGCUUCAAUGUAUCAUUUUCACUUGCCUUACUUGCUUCCCUUGCUUAAGUAGUAUUUUCCCUGCUUUUUCCCCAUGUAUGUGUGGCAUCUUCUCUUGCAGUAUUUGCCCUCUGAUGCAGAAGUGGAAUGCAACCCUUGCAUUUGGAUGGUUCAUCACUUCUUGGUGACUGGAGACCCAGCUCCAACAACAGUUGAAGAUGGCUACUCGAGAGCAAUACUAGGUAAGCAAUCAAGAAAGUUUCCAGUCGGUUCCUUACCAGGAGUUUGAGUGGAGGUUCCGACAUAUUGCUUUCUUUAUCCUUGUCUUUGCAGGUAAGAACAAAGACAAAGGAAAUGACAGGGAGAUUGCAUGAUAUUAGAUACUCUUGCUCUCGUCCCUGAAGAUAUGAGAUAAUCUUGCUCUGGUGUGACUUGUUUGAAGAGGUAUUCUCGGAGAGGAAGAAAACUGAGUAUUUCGAGAUGCUUUGUUGAAGAUGCAUUCUCGGAGAUGAGGAAGAGUUGGACAUUCUUGUAGGUCUACCUUGUUAUGGAGAACAGAGGUCCACAUAUAUAGAGAUUUCCCAAUAGCAAGUGGUGGUGCUGUGCUUUUACUCUUGUCAGCAACUGUGGUGUAAAUAAAACAGUAAGAUUUACGCAUUUUCAACUUUGUCAGAGAUCUUUAACAAAGUUGCACGCAAUAUCCAAAAAAGUUGAGAUUGAGUCUGAAAAAUGCCAACGAACUUUAUUCAGGAAAAUCUGGCUUUUGAAAUUCGGAGAGCGGUGCCUCUUCGAUCUCUGAAUGAGUGGCUCUGUUGCCUCUUCUUUUAUAGAGACAUCAAUUGUGUUCAAGAGUAUGCUUAGAAAGUUGCUGUACGUUGAAAUUUUCCCUUCUUACACUUCUGAAAUUUUAUUUGACCUCUUUUUUCCUUCAUCAUUUCUGAAAACGACUUGCCCAUCUAACAUUUGCUUGGAUUUAAGUCUUAGGAGUGAUACAGACGAGCAACGUCAGGAUAACAUACGGCGCCCGUUCUUCUUAUCUUCUAAUGGUCCUCUUACAGUUGGGGACUCUGUGAAGAAGAAUAACAUAACCGCUACUAUGGUAGCUAGGAAUCUUCUCACUCCAAAGGAUAACAGAAUCCUUUCAAAACGGUUUGAUGAGUUGGUCGUUCAAGACUCCUUGUCUCUCAGUGUUCAAUGUGCGGGCUCUGUUUCCAAUAUGGGCUAACGCUUACUUGCUCAAACUUGCCAACUUGAAUCAUUGAUGGCUAAGGUGGCAAGUCUUAAACAAAGAGAUCAGAGGGCUCAAGCACGAUAAUAGAGUGUUACACGUGCUUGCAAAUAAUUACUCGACGAGCAUGAAAAAAAAACUCGAUCAGCUGCAGGAAUCUGAAAGUCUAAUUCAAAAUGAUCAUCAGAGGUUCGUUGCUAGAUUCCAAAAGCAACUUAUGCCUUCCCCUUCUGGUGUUUUGUCAAGUACUGGGGUGCCACAUGAUCAAUCUCUAGUGCCUCCCCCUUCUGGGGUACGUCUGAGUACUGAGGCUUCACAUGAGCAACCUUUGUGAAGGCUUCAUCCUAUUUGUUUAUUUUAGCUCAUGAGUAUGCACAUAUCUGUAAUUUCUCGGAGAUAUUAAUAGAUAAGCUUUAUUUCAUUCAGAGUAUUGUGCUAAAUACAAUAAAGCAUAUAUUUCACUAAGAUGUGGUACUUCUGGACCAAAUAUCAAUUUAUUUUUACCCUCACGAAGAUAAAUGAUCUUUCUUAGUGUCUACAUCAUUUGACUAUUCAACUCAUAAUCUUCAAUCCAUAUGGUUCUUUUAAUAUCAUAGACAUCAUGGAUAAGAUUCGUGUUGGUAAAUUGUUCGAUCUGUAACUCGAGACAAUAUUUUUCUCAACACUUUAUAAUCUUUAUUGACUCUUCAGGAGUUUCAAUUUAAUAUCAUCAACUCUUCAGAAAUACUGAUUUAAUAUCAUCAACUUCUUGCAAGAGAUUUUAGUAUGUUGCAACAAUAUCAUAAUGAUAGUACUCACUAAGGCAAUUUAUACCAUCCAUUGGUAUUGAGUACAUAAUUUAUGUUUUACCCUUUUGGGGCUUACUUCAAGUAAUUUGAAUCCUUCAGGGAUUUUCUACACUUCAUGACACAUUUUUCUUUAGAAUUUAUACAGAGCAAUUUGUUCCUAUGUAUACUUGAGGGAUUUACUUAUGGAGAUAUGAUGUGGGCGACUCACAACCCUUCGUAUAUAAUUCUCCAUUCAUAUGAACUUGUUUACUAGAGUAUAAUUUCAGGGUCAUAUCAUGUGAGCGUAUUACACUGUAUUUACAAAUGCCCAUAUGUAACCUCAUUGGUUCAACAUCUUUUGGCUAUUUGUAUUAUAUUCAAAUAUAUAGGUCCAUUUAUCCGCGCUCUUACAAAAUUGUAAUGGAAUUGCCUUUCUCCAUUUUUGGCCAAUAAUUUUGUUGACGAAAAAGAACGGGACUCAAUAUCAACACAGCUCAUUGAUGAAUUUAGUAGCUACUUAUAAAAACCAAAAUUACCAUUGGUUAUUAUCAAUCCGUAAUCCCAUAUUCUCAUGUGCAUGUGCAUGCAUAAAAACUUUUCAUUUCUUUUGGAUAUCCAUUGCCUCUUCAAGGGCAUUAUACUAUCUCUUCCAAGAUAAUCAUAGUUUAGAGAAUGCAGAUCAUAACCUCCUAUUGAGCGUUAUGGAGCUUGAAUUUUAAUCUCCACUUCCAGGAAAUUGAGUCAUUGGAACUUAUAUGUCUAUCAUGCUUCAUGCAUGAGACAUCAACAUUCCCAUGUCUGCGGAUUGUCCUUUCUGGGACGUAUAUUCAUGCGGCGACUGUCUUACUUCUGGCAUACAACAGUUAUGCUUCGGGAAUGCAAUAGUUUAGUAGUGUUAUAUUCGUCUUCUUUCAAAUGAAUGAACCUUUUGAGUCUAAGGGUCUACCACGGUUCAGGCGUGCAACAGAUAAAUCAUUUACUGCAUCGUAAUUUUGUCCAACAUGGACAUCAAUUCUUGUAGGCACAUUUGCAGCAAGUAUAUAUGAUUUCAUCAAUUUCGUUGCAUCAUUCAAUUAUUCCUAUUUCAUUUUCUCAUUGAUUGCUUCGUGAAUCAAAAUAAGACAAAUUCUCUUCGUUCUUCUGGAAAGGUAUUUUCUUAUUAUUCUUUUGGAAUGAUAUUUUCUCAUCGUUCUUCUGGAAUGAUGUUAUUUUCUCCCCCUAAUGGCGGAAAAAUUGUCUUAUCAAAAUGAUAGUCCGCAAACCACGUGGUAAACAUAUCCCCAGUUAAGGAUUCCAAAUAUUGAAUGAUAGAUGGUGUUCAACAUCAAUGCCUAAUCCGCGAUGAUGCCUUAUUUCAGUACGUUGUGGCAAUGCUUGGCUGGUUUCCAGACACGAGUUGUACUGAGAAGUAUUAAUGGUUGGCAACAUGUCUCAACCGAAUUAAUAAUGCAUCAUAUAAAGUUUACAUGUCCCUAUGUAGAAAACUGGCAAUUUCGUUUUCAUGAGCAGAGCGCGGGAAAUCAAUUUCAUCCUCUUAAUAAAGGCUUCUGCUAAACCAUUUUGAGUAUGGACAUAAGGAACUUCUGGUCCUUAUUUAAUAGUCUGUAAACUGAGACUCUUAUGGCUUUUAUUACAAUUAAGUUAAGGUACUGCGGCACUUUAAACUUACGGUACUCAUCUCGGAACUUCAUGUCCUGAUCUUCAAGAUCAAGGGACUUCAUACCUGAUCAUUUUGCGUGAUGGAACUUCAGGUCCAAUCAUUUUAUGUGAUGAAGAUCAAGAAACUUCAGGUUCUGAUUUGAUCAAAGAACUUUGGGCCUUAUAUAUACUUAUCGUAACAAAAGGUAAGUACAAUAAAUAAAUUAAAGCAAUAAGCGGUAAUUCUAGCCAUAGUAAAUAAAUUGCAUUUAAGUAAAUAAAUCUUGUGACAAGGGCUUUAAUUCAACACCAUCAAAACUUAAAGCAAUAGGCGGUAAAACCGUCCAUGGUAAAUAAAUUGCUUUAAAGUAAAUAAAGCUUGUGACAAGGGCUUUGAUUCAGCACCAUUCACAUAAAUAUCAAAGCUUUAAAGUAAAGGGUAAUAAUUCUACCCAUUGUAAAUAAAUUGCUUUAAAUAAAUAGAACUUGUGACAUGAGAUUUAAACCAAAACUAUGCACAUAAAUAUCAAAGCUUUAAAGCAAAGGGUAAUAAUUCUACCCACUGUAAAUAAAUUGCUUUAAAUAAAUAGAACUUGUGACAUGAGAUUUAAACCAACACUAUGCACAUAAAUAUCAAAGCUUUAAAGCAAAGGGUAACACCAUCAAAACUUAAAGCAAUAGGCGGUAAAACCGUCUAUGGUAAAUAAAUUGCUUUAAAGUAAAUAAAGUUUGUGACAAGGGCUUUGAUUCAGCACCAUUCACAUAAAUAUCAAAGCUUUAAAGUAAAGGGUAAUAAUUCUACCCAUUGUAAAUAAAUUGCUUUAAAUAAAUAGAACUUGUGACAUGAGAUUUAAACCAACACUAUGCACAUAAAUAUCAAAGCUUUAAAGCAAAGGGUAAUAAUUCUACCCACUGUAAAUAAAUUGCUUUAAAUAAAUAGAACUUGUGACAUGGACUUUAAAACCAACACCAUGUACAUAAAUAUGCCAAAACAGAAAAUGCAAUGAUUAAGUCUUCAUCUUUUGCUUUUUCUUUUUCUUGGUUUGCCACUUCUUUUGUUUGAUUCCUUUUAUUUUUAUUUUUGGCCAAAUUGGAUUAUUUAUCCCCGUGGUCAUAGGAAACUUGCAUGAUGACCUCCGUGGUGAAAAAACUAGGAAUUAAACGCCUGUGGUCAAGAAUAUUAGCAAAUUUAGUCCAAAAGUAAGAUUUCUGUUAAAUGAUUGUUAAAAGUAUGGGUAAAACUGUAUUUUCAGUUCCAAUUGACAUUUAAAAUAAAUAAUUUUUUUAUAACAAUUAACAAAAAAAAUAAUGCUUAAUUUUUUAAAUAAAAAAAAGCCCUAAUUCAAUGUCAAUUGGAACUGAAAAUACAGUUUUACCCCAACUUUUAACAGUCCUUUAACAGAAAUCUUACUUUUGGACUAAAUUUGCUAACAUUCUAGACCACAGGGGUUUAAUUCCUAGUUUUUUCACCACGGGGGUCAUCAUGCAAGUGUCCUAUGACCACGGGGAUGAACAAUCCAAUUUAGCCUUUAUUUUUAUUUCACAGUUCUGAAGUCAUUUUGGUUUACUCAGGAAAUAAUAGUAACAAUAGGUUCCAAUUGGUGUUCCUCCUCCGGUGAGUUUCGAAAAAGUCGAAACGGUUCCCUUAAGUUUUGGAGUCAAGAGUGUCGAAAUGGAGUUGUGGUACUCAUAAGGUGGUUGUCCAGUUUUAUGCGGAAAGUGGAAACUGGUUUGGUAUUUCAGACAUCUGUGACGAUCACACCGUUAAAGUUUUCUAAAAUUUUGAUAUGUUGUAGAUACUGAGCGGAUGAACAACUUUCAAGAAUAAAGUAUUUCAAUCUGAGGUCUGCAAGUUGGAGUUCCGAGGCUGUUUACAUGGCAGUCAGAUUCUUUACGAAUUUUGAGUCUGUACUCUUUUGCUUCUGCAAAGGAUGAUAUACAGUCAUGCAACAACAUAUAUAUUUUUGCUUCAGGAAAAUCAGUAGUACAAAGAUAUUAAGAUGAAAUGAGAAGAUUUUCUUAUCUGUGAGAUUCUAGGUGACAGAGGUGAACAAGAUUUGUGGCGUUAUGCUUUCCGCUAACAUGAGAGUUUCUCGUGCUGAUAACGUGUUGUAAAAUUGACGGUGGGUGCAAUGGAAUAAAUGAAACAAGACACAAGAUUUACGAGGUUCCUCUACAGUCAGUGUGACUGGAGUACGUCUACGGGACAGCAGUGGUGCUUUCAUUAUAAUUUGAAAUAAUAAGAGUACAAAGAUAACUCUCUAUAUUCCUUUCUCUCUUCUUCCUCUCUUUUCUCUCUUCCUCUUCCUUCCUUCUUCUCUAUUGUGAGUCUCUCACUUCUCUCCCUUUCUUCCUCCGUAUAUUUUCAUUUUAUAGAAAAAUGUUACUGUAGCAAUACUAUUCACUUUACAAAAAUUUCCACAAAUAAAUAGUAAAAAUACUGUGUAUAAAUAGUAACAAACUAUUCAUAUGGACCAUCCAUAUAUUAUUCACAACACAUCCCAUUUUAUUCCCUAAUUUUUGUUUCUGAUGGUUGAAACAACAAACAAGCUUUUACCACAAAAAUAAAUAAAUAAAUCAAUCAGCAACAAACAAGCAGCCAAAUUGAGAUUCAUGAUGUAAACAAAUUGAAUAGAAAUGCAAAUCCCAAAACCCAAAUGCAAAAAUACGAAAUAAUAUGGCAUUUCUGAGGACAGUGGCCACGACUAAUGCCAUAGCUGCUGCCUCUGCAUUUCCUGCGGCCGUUGCCCUUUCUUCCUUCUCUUUUUCUUCCUCCUCUGUAUCUUUUCGAUUCCCAAAACCCCAAAACCUCUCCUUUCUCUCCUCCGCGCCUUCUCUGCUGAACCCAAAUCCUCCUUUCCUCGCUACAAGCUUCGCCCGCUCCCCCACGGCUAUCCAGAUGGACGCGCCCACAUCGGAGCAGCAAUCCUUUCAGGUUCGCUGAAAUUGUUUUGAGUUUAACGUUUUAUUUUUUAUUAAUGGGUUGUAAUCCCUUUUCAAAAAAAAUAGUGGGUAACAAUCUGAUUCUUCAAUGGGUUCCGUUUGUUUGAUCGGUUUAAGUUGAAUACAGAAACGUUUUUUUUUUCAUUUUUUUUAAUUGCAGAGUGAUGGCGCUUUGCCGGAGCUACUGGUAAGUCCGGUCUUCAGAAUUUUAUUUUCUUUUGAUCUAAAUUAUUUAUGUUCUAGAUGUAUCAAUGAUUUGAAGUACUGGUUAGGAAAAAUUACAGAUGUAAAUCAUUGUUAGUAAUAAAAGCUAGGAUUUUUGUGGAUUUCGCUGAAGAGUUUUCUGGUUAAGAAUUUUCGGUUUUGAUUUGGUAUGCAGACAGAGUACAUGGUGGAUAUGAAAUGUGAUGGAUGUGUCAAGUCUGUAAAGAGCAAGUUAGAAACUGUGGAUGGUAAGUUUUUCUGAGCUACUGCAUUACAAUGGGAAAUUUUGUUUGUUUUUUUUUCUCAUGUAUUUGGCAGUUUGGUAUUCUGAUGUUGUUAUUCAAUUGGUUUCCUCUAGGAGUAAAAAGUGUAGAGGUAGACCUCAACAGUCAAGUCGUCAGGGUUCUGGGUUCAACGCCUUUGAAGACCAUGACUGAAGCUUUGGAGCAGACUGGUCGAAAAGCAAGAUUAAUUGGGCAGGGGAUUCCUGAAGGUUAUAUCUUUUUUCCCUUCUCUUUCGAUGAAUGCAAUGUUGGGGUUCUUUCCCCUCAAUUUGUUGCUGAUAUGUAUCCAUGUCUAGUGACUCCUUUGUUGUCAUUAUUUCUUGUUGCACAACGCUGGGACGUAGAUAGAAUAUAUUCUUGUUCAAACAAGAAUAAUCGUUUUUCAUCCAAUUAUUCAAGCAAGUAUAACUGAAUCAAAGUGAACGAAAGGGACCGUAAUUUGAGUAUGGUUGGUGGAUAAAAUGCUGUUUGUAAAAAUUUUUUGAGUUGAACAAUUGAAAUGAACAGUUAACAUAUUGACGUCUUUCUUGUUACAUGUAGAAGAGCUGUAAUUUACCUGAGUUUAAGCUUUUAGCGGUUGAAUGAUCUAAAUCCUAUUUCUUAUGCAGAAGAAUUCCGUUUAUGUUAUAUUCAUAUUUUGGUUCAUAGCUCAAUAUAAUGGAGUUUUAUGAAAGUUUACGUUGCUGACAUAGUUCCUGUUUUUUUAAUGGCUUACAGAUUUCUUGGUUUCUGCGGCUGUUUCUGAGUUCAAGGGUCCAAAUAUUUUUGGUGUGGUUCGUUUUGCUCAGGUGAAUAUGGAAUUGGCUAGGAUUGAGGCCAACUUUAGUGGAUUAACACCUGGAAAACAUGGUUGGUCGAUCAACGAAUUUGGUGAUCUAACGGAAGGUGCUGCAAGCACUGGAAAAGUAUUUAAGCCAUCAAAUGAAGCAAAGGAGGUUCGCUUCUUCCUGUAAUAUCUAUGGUGGUUUAGACUUUUAAUAAAUUUCCUAGUAACUGGUUAGGAACACGCUUUCCAGUAAAAUUUAUAUCAAUGGUGUAGAGUUUUCGUUACGACGAUAUGUAUAAACGACUAGAUACCAAAGAAGGAGAGUUGGAUAUCUAUAAACUAUCUAGAGCAAGGGAAAAGAAGACAAGGGACCUAAACCAAGUGAGGUGCAUCAAGGAUGAGGAUGGAAAUGUUCUUGCUACAGAGAACGCGGUUAAAGACAGAUGGAGAGGUUAUUUUCAUAAUCUUUUCAAUGAAGGACAUGAAAUGAGUGCUUCUUUAGGGGAGUUGAGUAACUCAGAAGAGUGUAGAAACUACUCUUUUUAUCGUCGAAUCCGGAAGGAAGAAGUGGUUGUAGCUUUGAAGAAGAUGAAGCAUAAAAAAGCAAUAGGCCCAGACGAUAUACCAAUCGAAGUGUGGAAACUUUUGGGAGAGACAGGUAUAACAUGGCUCACUGACCUUUUCAAUAGGAUUUUGAAAACGAAGAAGAUGCCAAAUGAGUGGCGAAUGAGCACUUUGGUGCCUAUCUACAAGAAUAAGGGCGACGUACAAAAUUGCAUGAACUAUAGGGGUAUUAAGCUAAUGAGUCAUACAAUGAAGCUCUGGGAGAGAGUCAUUGAGCAUAGAUUGAGGCAAGAGACACGGGUUUCGGACAACCAAUUCGGGUUCAUGCCAGGGCGCUCAACCAUGGAGGCAAUCUAUCUCUUACGAAGAUUGAUGGAAAGAUAUAGAGAUGGGAAAAAGGAUUUACACAUGGUCUUUAUAGAUUUGGAAAAAGCGUAUGAUAGGGUCCCAAGAGACAUUCUUUGGAGGAUUUUAGAGAAGAAAGGAGUACGAGUAGCAUAUAUCCAAGCUAUAAAGGAUAUGUAUGAAGGAGCAAAGACUGCCGUAAGAACUCAUGAAGGACAAACCGAAAGCUUUCCCAUAACUGUAGGAUUACAUCAAGGCUCAUCCUUAAGUCCUUACCUUUUUGCGUUGGUAAUGGAUGAGUUAACACGACAUAUUCAAGAUGAUAUUCCUUGGUGUAUGCUUUUCGCAGACGAUAUAGUGUUGAUAGAUGAAACUCAGGAAGGGGUAAAUGCAAAGCUCAACCUUUGGAGAGAAGUGUUGGAAUCUAAAGGUCUUCGCCUAAGCCGAUCAAAGACAGAAUAUAUGGAGUGCAAGUUCAGUGCAAAUGGAGGCCAAAACGAGUUAGGGGUGAGGAUCGGAGAUCAAGAAAAUACCAAAGAGCGACCGUUUUCGUUACCUAGGAUCUAUCUUGCAAAAGAACGGAGAAUUAGAUGGAGAUCUCAACCAUAGAAUACAAGCUGGAUGGAUGAAGUGGAAGAGUGCAUCCGGCGUGUUGUGUGACCGCCGUAUGCCACUGAAGCUCAAGGAAAAAUUUUAUAGGACGGCAAUAAGGCCGGCGAUGCUGUAUGGCACAGAAUGUUGGGCGGUGAAACAUCAACACGUACACAAAAUGGGUGUAGCGGAGAUGAGGAUGCUUCGUUGGAUGUGUGGGCACACGAGAAAGGAUAAGAUUAGGAAUGAGGAUAUCCGGGGUAAAGUAGGAGUAGCCGAAAUUGAAGGAAAGAUGAGAAAAAAUCGGUUACGGUGGUUUGGACAUGUGCAAAGAAGGCCUACUGACGUUCCGAUUAGAAGAUGCGACUAUGGGACAGAGGUUCAGGG